rnacentral:rRNA from 1 species
AUGAGUCGACCUGAUGGGAUCAACAUCCCCGACGGCAAGUUCUACCUUGGAGAUGCUGGCUAUGCAUGUUGGCCGAGUGUUCUUCCACCCUUCAGGAAAACCAGGUACCAUCUCAACGAGUUCUCUGGUAGGAACCCUAGGACUCCACAGGAGCUGCUUAAUCUCAGACACUCUAGCCUUAGAGUAACUGUUGAGAGGGCAUUUGGAGCUCUGAAGAAUAGGUUUAAAAUCCUGGAUCAGAAGCCAUUCCACCCAUACCCCACGCAAGUUAAGCUAGUUUUUGCUUGUUGCAUUCUGCAUAACUGGAUCCUCCAGUGGGGCUUCGAUGAACACGUGCCUGAGGAGGAAGAGGUCGAGCCUGACGAUGUUGUUAGCUCUGACCAUGGUGUGGAGGCAUUUGACAAUGACGGUUGGAAGAACAAAAGGUUGGAGUGGGCAGAGGCAAUGUGGCUUAACAGAGGUCAGUGCAGGAUUUGA